rnacentral:rRNA from 1 species
UACGAAGGGGGUUAGCGUUGUUCGGAAUUACUGGGCGUAAAGCGUGCGCAGGCGGCUUCUCAAGUCAGGGGUGAAAGCCCAGAGCUCAACUCUGGAAUUGCCUUUGAGACUGAGUGGCUUGAGUACGAGAGAGGUGAGUGGAAUUCCCAGUGUAGAGGUGAAAUUCGUAGAUAUUGGGAAGAACACCGGUGGCGAAGGCGGCUCACUGGCUCGUAACUGACGCUCAUGCACGACAGCGUGGGGAUCAAACAGG